UACGUAGGGUGCAAGCGUUGUCCGGAAUUAUUGGGCGUAAAGAGCUCGUAGGUGGUUUGUCGCGUUGUUCGUGAAAACUCACAGCUUAACUGUGGGCGUGCGGGCGAUACGGGCAUCACUGGAGUUCGGCAGGGGAGACUGGAAUUCCUGGUGUAGCGGUGAAAUGCGCAGAUAUCAGGAGGAACACCGGUGGCGAAGGCGGGUCUCUGGGCCGAUACUGACGCUGAGGAGCGAAAGCGUGGGGAGCGAACAGG
rnacentral:rRNA from 1 species